rnacentral:rRNA from 1 species
AGAGUUUGAUCCUGGCUCAGGAUGAACGCUGGCGGCGUGCCUAAUACAUGCAAGUCGAGCGAACGGACGAGAAGCUUGCUUCUCUGAUGUUAGCGGCGGACGGGUGAGUAACACGUGGAUAACCUACCUAUAAGACUGGGAUAACUUCGGGAAACCGGAGCUAAUACCGGAUAAUAUUUUGAACCGCAUGGUUCAAAAGUGAAAGACGGUCUUGCUGUCACUUAUAGAUGGAUCCGCGCUGCAUUAGCUAGUUGGUAAGGUAACGGCUUACCAAGGCAACGAUGCAUAGCCGACCUGAGAGGGUGAUCGGCCACACUGGAACUGAGACACGGUCCAGACUCCUACGGGAGGCAGCAGUAGGGAAUCUUCCGCAAUGGGCGAAAGCCUGACGGAGCAACGCCGCGUGAGUGAUGAAGGUCUUCGGAUCGUAAAACUCUGUUAUUAGGGAAGAACAUAUGUGUAAGUAACUGUGCACAUCUUGACGGUACCUAAUCAGAAAGCCACGGCUAACUACGUGCCAGCAGCCGCGGUAAUACGUAGGUGGCAAGCGUUAUCCGGAAUUAUUGGGCGUAAAGCGCGCGUAGGCGGUUUUUUAAGUCUGAUGUGAAAGCCCACGGCUCAACCGUGGAGGGUCAUUGGAAACUGGAAAACUUGAGUGCAGAAGAGGAAAGUGGAAUUCCAUGUGUAGCGGUGAAAUGCGCAGAGAUAUGGAGGAACACCAGUGGCGAAGGCGACUUUCUGGUCUGUAACUGACGCUGAUGUGCGAAAGCGUGGGGAUCAAACAGGAUUAGAUACCCUGGUAGUCCACGCCGUAAACGAUGAGUGCUAAGUGUUAGGGGGUUUCCGCCCCUUAGUGCUGCAGCUAACGCAUUAAGCACUCCGCCUGGGGAGUACGACCGCAAGGUUGAAACUCAAAGGAAUUGACGGGGACCCGCACAAGCGGUGGAGCAUGUGGUUUAAUUCGAAGCAACGCGAAGAACCUUACCAAAUCUUGACAUCCUUUGACAACUCUAGAGAUAGAGCNNNNNNNNNNNNNNNNNNNNNNNNNNNNNNNNNUUCCCCUUCGGGGGACAAAGUGACAGGUGGUGCAUGGUUGUCGUCAGCUCGUGUCGUGAGAUGUUGGGUUAAGUCCCGCAACGAGCGCAACCCUUAAGCUUAGUUGCCAUCAUUAAGUUGGGCACUCUAAGUUGACUGCCGGUGACAAACCGGAGGAAGGUGGGGAUGACGUCAAAUCAUCAUGCCCCUUAUGAUUUGGGCUACACACGUGCUACAAUGGACAAUACAAAGGGCAGCGAAACCGUGAGGUCAAGCAAAUCCCAUAAAGUUGUUCUCAGUUCGGAUUGUAGUCUGCAACUCGACUACAUGAAGCUGGAAUCGCUAGUAAUCGUAGAUCAGCAUGCUACGGUGAAUACGUUCCCGGGUCUUGUACACACCGCCCGUCACACCACGAGAGUUUGUAACACCCGAAGCCGGUGGAGUAACCUUUUAGGAGCUAGCCGUCGAAGGUGGGACAAAUGAUUGGGGUGAAGUCGUAACAAGGUAGCCGUAUCGGAAGGUGCGGCUGGAUCACCU